GUUCCAGUGGUGUAGACCGGUCAAGCAUUUUGCCCUUUCAAGGCAAAGAUCCCGGGUUCAAAUCCCGGCUGGAGCACCA
rnacentral:tRNA from 4 species